AGCAGGGUGGCGCAGUGGAAACGUGCUGGGCCAUAACCCAGAGGUCAAUGGAUCGAGACAAUUUCCUGCCA
rnacentral:tRNA from 1 species